UACGGGGGGAGCAAGCGUUGUUCGGAUUUACUGGGCGUAAAGGGCGCGUAGGCGGCCACGACAAGUCACUUGUGAAAUCUCCGGGCUUAACUCGGAAAGGUCAAGUGAUACUGUCGGGCUAGAGUACAGAAGGGGCAACUGGAAUUCUCGGUGUAGCGGUGAAAUGCGUAGAUAUCGAGAGGAACACCUGCGGCGAAGGCGGGUUGCUGGGCUGAUACUGACGCUGAUGCACGAAAGCCAGGGGAGCGAACGGG
rnacentral:rRNA from 1 species